rnacentral:rRNA from 1 species
AGUGAACGCUGGCGGUAGGCCUAACACAUGCAAGUCGAACGGCAGCACAGUAAGAGCUUGCUCUUACGGGUGGCGAGUGGCGGACGGGUGAGGAAUACAUCGGAAUCUACUUUUUCGUGGGGGAUAACGUAGGGAAACUUACGCUAAUACCGCAUACGACCUACGGGUGAAAGCAGGGGAUCUUCGGACCUUGCGCGAUUGAAUGAGCCGAUGUCGGAUUAGCUAGUUGGCGGGGUAAAGGCCCACCAAGGCGACGGUCCGUAGCUGGUCUGAGAGGAUGGUCAGCCACACUGGAACUGAGACACGGUCCAGACUCCUACGGGAGGCAGCAGUGGGGAAUAUUGGACAAUGGGCGCAAGCCUGAUCCAGCCAUACCGCGUGGGUGAAGAAGGCCUUCGGGUUGUAAAGCCCUUUUGUUGGGAAAGAAAAGCAGCAGGUUAAUACCCCGCUGUUCUGACGGUACCCAAAGAAUAAGCACCGGCUAACUUCGUG